CCUACGGGUGGCAGCAGUGAGGAAUAUUGGUCAAUGGUCGGGAGACUGAACCAGCCAAGCCGCGUGAGGGAGGAAGGUACAGAGUAUCGUAAACCUCUUUUGUCAGGGAACAAAGACUGGGACGCGUCCCCGGAUGAGUGUACCUGAAGAAAAAGCAUCGGCUAACUCCGUGCCAGCAGCCGCGGUAAUACGGAGGAUGCGAGCGUUAUCCGGUUGUAUUGGGUUAAAGGGGUGCGCGGGCGGUCUGUAAAGUCAGCGGUCAAAGCCCGGGGCCCAACCCCGGCCCGCCGUUGAAACUGGCAGUCUCGAGUUGGAGAGAAGUAUGCGGAAUGCGCGGUGUAGCGGUGAAAUGCAUAGCUAUCGCGCAGAACUCCGAUUGCGAAGGCAGCAUGCCGGCUCCACACUGACGCUGAGGCACGAAAGCGUGGGUAUCGAACAGGAUUAGAUACCCCGGUAGUC
rnacentral:rRNA from 1 species